UCAAUGGAGGACUAGUGGUUAUGCAACGGCACUCUCAACGCUGCGGCCCGGGAUCGAUUCCCAGCCAGGGAA